UGGGGAAUUUUGGACAAUGGGCGCAAGCCUGAUCCAGCCAUGCUGCGUGCGGGAAGAAGGCCUUCGGGUUGUAAACCGCUUUUGUCAGGGAAGAAAUCUUCUGAGUUAAUACCUCGGGAGGAUGACGGUACCUGAAGAAUAAGCACCGGCUAACUACGUGCCAGCAGCCGCGGUAAUACGUAGGGUGCAAGCGUUAAUCGGAAUUACUGGGCGUAAAGCGUGCGCAGGCGGUUUUGUAAGACAGAGGUGAAAUCCCCGGGCUCAACCUGGGAACUGCCUUUGUGACUGCAAGGCUUGAGUGCGGCAGAGGGGGAUGGAAUUCCGCGUGUAGCAGUGAAAUGCGUAGAUAUGCGGAGGAACACCGAUGGCGAAGGCAAUCCCCUGGGCCUGCACUGACGCUCAUGCACGAAAGCGUGGGGAGCAAACAGGAUUAGAUACCCUGGUAGUCCACGCCCUAAACGAUGUCAACUGGUUGUUGGGAAGGUUCCUUCUCAGUAACGUAGCUAACGCGUGAAGUUGACCGCCUGGGGAGUACGGCCGCAAGGUUGAAACUCAAAUGAAUUGACGGGGU
rnacentral:rRNA from 1 species